UACGAAGGGGGGCUAGCGUUGUUCGGAAUCACUGGGCGUAAAGCGCACGUAGGCGGAUGUGCCAGUCAGGGGUGAAAUCCCGGAGCUCAACUCCGGAACUGCCUCUGAUACAGCACGUCUUGAGUUCGAGAGAGGUGGGUGGAAUUCCUAGUGUAGAGGUGAAAUUCGUAGAUAUUAGGAAGAACACCCGUGGCUAAGGCGGCUCUCUAGUACGGUACUGACGCUGAGACGCGAAAGCGUGGGGAGCGAACAGG
rnacentral:rRNA from 1 species